rnacentral:rRNA from 1 species
GACGAACGCUGGCGGCGUGCUUAACACAUGCAAGUCGAACGGAAAGGCCCUGCUUUUGUGGGGUGCUCGAGUGGCGAACGGGGGAGUAAAACGUGUGUAACACGCCCUUGACUUUGGGGUAACUUCAGGGAACUGGGGCUAAUACCGGAUAGAAGCUCCUGCUGCGUGGUGGGGGUUGGAAAGUUUCGGCGGUUGGGGAUGGACUGGCGGGUUAUCCGCUUGUUGGUGGGGUAGUGGCUUACCAAGGCUUUGACGGGUAGGCGGCCUGAGAGGGUGACCGGGCACAUUGGGCCUGAGAUAGGGCCCAGACUCCUACGGGAGGCAGCAGUGGGGAAUAUUGCAGAAUGGGCGGGAGCCUGAGGCAGCAACGCCGGGUGCGGGAUGACGGCCUUCGGGUUGUAAACCGCUUUCGCCGGUGACGAAGCGUGAGUGACGGUAAUGGGUAAAGAAGCACCGGCUAACUACGUG